rnacentral:rRNA from 1 species
CAGCCGCCACGGGAAUACAGAGGGUGCGAGCGUUAAUCGGAUUUACUGGGCGUAAAGCGUGCGUAGGCGGCUAAUUGAGUCGGAUGUGAAAUCCCCGAGCUUAACUUGGGAAUUGCAUUCGAUACUGGUUAGCUAGAGUGUGGGAGAGGAUGGUAGAAUUCCAGGUGUAGCGGUGAAAUGCGUAGAGAUCUGGAGGAAUACCGAUGGCGAAGGCAGCCAUCUGGCCUAACACUGACGCUGAGGUACGAAAGCAUGGGGAGCAAACAGGAUUAGAGACCCCUGUAGUCCCUGUCUCUUAUAC